GAUGAACGCUAGCUACAGGCUUAACACAUGCAAGUCGAGGGGAAACGAUAUUGGAAGCUUGCUUCCGAUAGGCGUCGACCGGCGCACGGGUGAGUAACGCGUAUCCAACCUGCCCAUCACCUGGGGAUAACCUUGCGAAAGUAAGACUAAUACCCAAUGAUAUCUCUAGAAGACAUCUGAAGGAGACUAAAGAUUCAUCGGUGAUGGAUGGGGAUGCGUCUGAUUAGCUUGUUGGCGGGGUAACGGCCCACCAAGGCGACGAUCAGUAGGGGUUCUGAGAGGAAGGUCCCCCACAUUGGAACUGAGACACGGUCCAAACUCCUACGGGAGGCAGCAGUGAGGAAUAUUGGUCAAUGGACGAGAGUCUGAACCAGCCAAGUAGCGUGCAGGAUGACGGCCCUAUGGGUUGUAAACUGCUUUUAUAAGGGAAUAAAGUGAGUCUCGUGAGACUUUUUGCAUGUACCUUAUGAAUAAGGACCGGCUAAUUCCGUGCCAGCCGCCGCGGUAA
rnacentral:rRNA from 1 species